rnacentral:lncRNA from 1 species
GCCCGGAGACUGGGUGGGGCUCAGGCUGCGGACCCCGGCUUGGGCUGGGGAGUGGCCCAGGCCGGAUCCCGGAGGGCGGCCCGCCUCGCCAAUCAAGCAUCCCUGGAAGGUCGGAGGGCGCGGGGAAUCAGAGGGAGCGCCCGAGUCGCUGUGCGCAGUUUGGGCGCUCGCGUAGGGUGCCGGGCUGGUCAAGUUUGGGCAGCCUGAGAUAACAAGUACCGAGCGUCCAAAACUUUGUUGGGGUCCACCGACCGAGCCUGUGGCCUGUUGUUUCCCUCUCUUCUACCGUCACAACACCCCGCCUUUCCCGGCUCAGGGAGUAGGCACGGGAUUUGGGGGUCGGUGUCAAGUCGAAUUACAGAAGCGGGAAGAAAAUGUUCACUUUCCGAAAAUGUUCUGUCCAGUGGACCCAGCAGAGGGGAAGAGGAGCCCACGGGAAAGCGGUGCAGGCAAGGUUGAGGAUAAAGGCUGCUCCAAGUGUGACAGCUUCCUCGGUGAGAUGGAAGACAGAAUUGACAAGGCAAAUUUCAUGGACCAGGUAUCUGUGCUAGUCCGACAAGCCUGAUGAAACAGUUCCCCGUAUGGACUCAUCUGGGUACCUGUGGAAAUAUAAUCACAGUCAGGUGAGUUUGUUAUUCCAUCUCUCAUCGGUAGCGUAGAUUUAUCUUUUAAGAGUCAGAAUUUUGAGGGUUGCCUGGGUGGCUCAGUCACUUAAGUGUCCAACUCUCGGUUUCAGCUCAGGUCCUAAUCACAUGGUUAGUAAGUUCAAGUCCCACGUAUUCAAGAUUCAAGAUUCUCUCUCUCCUCCACUCUCUCUUUUCCCCUUCUGUGCACACUCUCUCUUUCCCUCUCAAAAUAAAUAAAUAAACUUUAAAAAGCGAAAGAAUCA